UCAUCUACUAUGACUUCUUAUUAGAAUAGAACAGAAAUAAAUCAUGUCCAAGGAGACCUCAAAGGUGCAGCUAAUGCAAAACAAAUUCAGCUAGUACAGAAUAAAGAAACAAACUGUUCAGCAUUUCAACCAAUAUCCAUUUUUUCUAUUGAUAACACUGAUGGGAAAUAAACUUUAACUUCACAAAAAAUCUUCCCACAAAACUAAUACAUCUAACAGUCAAUAUAACACACUUGUAAUGUCUAAACAAGCUUCAAGCGGUAAUCUAAUCACAUUUUAAUACAACACUUAUAGGAAAGAAACAAAUGCUAUAAUCAAAACAAGAUCACAGUCGUUCAUUAUCUACAGGUUCUCAGUCCAUAAACUAACUCAUUCGUAUCCUCAAUUUAAACAA
rnacentral:lncRNA from 1 species